UGCUUUGUUUACAGGCAGUGACUGUUUAUG
rnacentral:piRNA from 1 species